rnacentral:hammerhead_ribozyme from 1 species
AUGAAGCUGAUGAGUCUGAAAUAGGACGAAACGCGCGUCUAU